rnacentral:tRNA from 1 species
GGUAAGAUGGCUGAGAACUAAGCGGCGGAUUGUAGUCCCGUGAACAGAGGUUAGAUUCCUCUUCAUACCA